GGUCUUUAGAAGGUACGAGGCGGCUUUCGGUAUGUGCGUGUUUUGUGUGCUGUUAAGUAAGUUCUUAGCCUGAGCGGCCUCCAGCUCUUGGCAGUUAGGAUCGCCUUAAGCCGGCUGGCAUUUCUAGGCCAGUCGCAGGCCUUCGCACGGUUCACAAGAUGAAGAUGCUGGAGGAUUGCUAGUUGGGUGCGGGCGCGACCUAAUUAUACUCCUCGGGUUGUUGGGCCGAACUGCGGAAAAACCCCGGCUCGCGGGCUCUGCCUCUGAUGAAGCCUGUGUUGGUAGGGACAUCUGAGACUGUUGAUGAAUGCCAACGGCUCUGAUGGCGGCGCGUUCCGAGUUACCGAGUGGGUCUUUGUUAAAGACCUCGCUCGAGUCUCCUUCAGCCACUUGUUCUCAGGAAGGCCACGUGGUUCUCUAAAGGCUGCAUUCCGCACUGCACCAUUAUUUCCGUCAGUGGUUCUUAAUCUUAAUUAUGUUGAAUGCAUAAUUUCAUGCAGUUGUGGAUGGUGUAAACGACUUGCUUACGUGGUAUGGAAACGACGCAAGGUUUAAACUUACGUUUAGAACAAAAUGAAUUUUUUAAAUCCCUAAUUUUUCCUAGGAACGGUGCAGGCAUGGGUGCCAGGCAUGAAUGCAGUGUGGCUUUAGAAUGGCUUCUGGUGGACAGUUGUGUACCAAAGGGAUGAGAACCGCUGCUGGGGUCUUAAAGCACAAGCUUAAUGCUGUAUCCGUGGGCAAACAGGCAUUAUGCAGGAAGUUAAGCACUAUGUAGGCACUAAGCUGAAAGUUGAAGGGGUGGACUUGAAUCCUUGACCUGUCUGGGCCAACUUUUUGAUCCUGGGUACACGUUUUUAUCCAUGGAUGGCUUGCUUGGGGUGCAAAUUUUGGAGAUCUUUUAUAUAAAGGUGUCAAGAGAGGUACUGGCCACAACGCAGGGAGCAAGAAGUUUUAAGCAAAGGCAAAUGUGUUACCCUGAAGAUUUCAAGGGCAUUUAUGACAGCAGUCAUGCAUCUUAACAGUUGACAGGCAGCUGGAUGGAUGCUCAUGGGAUAGGAGAGGAAACAACUUUCAAUUUUUUUUAAA